UACAGAGGGGGCAAGCGUUGUUCGGAAUUACUGGGCGUAAAGGGCGCGUAGGCGGCCUCUUAAGUCGAACGUGAAAUCCCCGGGCUCAACCCGGGAACUGCGUCCGAUACUGGGGGGCUUGAAUCCGGGAGAGGGAUGUGGAAUUCCAGGUGUAGCGGUGAAAUGCGUAGAUAUCUGGAGGAACACCGGUGGCGAAGGCGGCAUCCUGGACCGGUAUUGACGCUGAUGCGCGAAAGCCAGGGGAGCAAACGGG
rnacentral:rRNA from 1 species